rnacentral:rRNA from 1 species
GAUGAACGCUGGCGGCGUGCUUAACACAUGCAAGUCAAACGGAAAGGCCAGUGCUUGCACUGGUACUCGAGUGGCGAACGGGUGAGUAACACGUGGGUGAUCUGCCCUGCACUUCGGGAUAAGCCUGGGAAACUGGGUCUAAUACCGGAUAGGACAAUGGUUUGGAUGCCGUUGUGGAAAGUUUUUUCGGUGUGGGAUGAGCUCGCGGCCUAUCAGCUUGUUGGUGGGGUAAUGGCCUACCAAGGCGUCGACGGGUAGCCGGCCUGAGAGGGUGUACGGCCACAUUGGGACUGAGAUACGGCCCAGACUCCUACGGGAGGCAGCAGUGGGGAAUAUUGCACAAUGGGCGCAAGCCUGAUGCAGCGACGCCGCGUGGGGGAUGACGGCCUUCGGGUUGUAAACUCCUUUCGCUAGGGACGAAGCGUAUUUGUGACGGUACCUGGAGAAGAAGCACCGGCUAACUACGUG